UAACCUACCCAUCAGAGGGGGAUAACACUUGGAAACAGGUGCUAAUACCGCAUAACAGUUUAUGCCGCAUGGCAUAAGAGUGAAAGGCGCUUUCGGGUGUCGCUGAUGGAUGGACCCGCGGUGCAUUAGCUAGUUGGUGAGGUAACGGCUCACCAAGGCCACGAUGCAUGGCCGACCUGAGAGGGUGAUCGGCCACACUGGGACUGAGACACGGCCCAG
rnacentral:rRNA from 1 species